rnacentral:lncRNA from 1 species
GUUUUUGAAAAAUUUAAGUAUAAAAAAUUUAUUGGAUUGGAAUAUAUAGAUGUAAACAACUAAAAGAACAAAAUUUAUGAUUAUGUAUUAAUAAUAAUUUAUCUUGAAAAGUCUAUGGUUUAUAUAAGAAAAUUGCUUAUUGUGGAAAUCCAGAAUUCGGAUCAGAUGCAAGGUGUCAUUCUCCCACCUCAUCGAAAAUUACGAAAGGAAUUUGAACAGAGUGACACCUUAAAAGGAAAACAGACAAUAAAAAUAUCAUGUUAUCUCGCUUGGAGAACCUUGUCUCUACAACAUAAAGAAAUAAUAAAUAAUAAACAAUAGAAAUACAUGAUAAAAACAAAGGAAAACACAAGAUCUCAUUUUUCCCUGGGAAAAAGGUGAAAGAAAAGGUCAGCAAGUUUUAUCCAGGACAGAGAUAGACUGA